CUGCUGCCUUCCGUAGGAGUUUGGGCCGUGUCUCAGUCCCAAUGUGGCCGUCCACCCUCUCAGGCCGGCUACUGAUCGUCGCUUUGGUAGGCCGUUACCCUGCCAACUGGCUAAUCAGACGCGGGCCCAUCUUAUACCACCGGAGUUUUUCACCCUGGGCCAUGCGGCCCUGGGCGUCUUAUGCGGUCUUAGCACCUAUUUCUAAGUGUUAUCCCCCUGUAUAAGGCAGGUUACCCACGCGUUACUCACCCGUCCGCCACUAAAGUAAAAAUU
rnacentral:rRNA from 1 species